UGGACAACAGGUAGAGAUUCCUGUACCAGUGCUAAUUGUUUAACCGAUGGGGUGACACAGAAGGAUAGGGAAUCGCACGAAUGGAAAUGUGCGUCCAAGCAGUGAGUGUGAGAAGUAGGCAAAUCCGCUUCUCGCGAAGCAUGAGCUGUGAUGGGGAAGGAAAUUAAGUACGGAAGUUCCUGAUUUCACGCUGUCAAGAAAAGCCUCUAGGAAGAGUAGUACUGCCCGUACCGCAAACCGACACAGGUAGAUGAGGAGAGAAUCCUAAGGUGAGCGAGAGAACUCUCGUUAAGGAACUCGGCAAAAUGACCCCGUAACUUCGGGAGAAGGGGUGCUCUAUUAGGGUGCAAGCCCGAGAGAGCCGCAGUGAAUAGGCCCAGGCGACUGUUUAGCAAAAACACAGGUCUCUGCAAAACCGUAAGGUGACGUAUAGGGGCUGACGCCUGCCCGGUGCUGGA
rnacentral:rRNA from 1 species